UACGUAGGGUGCAAGCGUUAAUCGGAAUUACUGGGCGUAAAGCGUGCGCAGGCGGCUUUGCAAGACAGAUGUGAAAUCCCCGGGCUUAACCUGGGAACUGCAUUUGUGACUGCAUGGCUGGAGUGCGGCAGAGGGGGAUGGAAUUCCGCGUGUAGCAGUGAAAUGCGUAGAAAUGCGGAGGAACACCGAUGGCGAAGGCAAUCCCCUGGGCCUGCACUGACGCUCAAGCACGAAAGCGUGGGGAGCAAACAGG
rnacentral:rRNA from 1 species